CUAAGAGGGAGAACAUUUCAGGAAGAGACAUGUGCAGUCUGCAUUAGCUCUUAAGCUGUCUGAAGGUGAACUGAAGAAAGCAAGAUCUGCCACAGGAAUGAGAACAUGGCUGGGGAAAAGGCAGAGCUGUUGUCUUCUCUUAGACACUUUCACUUUUGUGUGAGCUGUUCUAUAUCACUUAGAAAAAUGGGAACUUCUCCAGGUUUGCACCACUCAUGCAUGCCAGAAUCCUCAGAGCUCCGGCUGCCAUACUGGCCAUUGAGUUCCCAUUUCUUUUG